AUACAUUGAAUUAUGACAUUAGUUUCUUUUUCGGCGAGUUCUUCUAUGUUGAAGAAAUUCACGAAAAGCAGCAAGUUUCUAUAUAAUGAUAGGCCUGCAUAUUCAUGUCGUCCUUGAAGAGAACGCAAUGGUUGAUGUCUACUAUGUGUGAUGCAACAUUGUAGAAGACACGAAGGGCAAGUUCUGAAUCUUCUUAGAGAAUCUAGAACUGAACGAGCCCACCAACAAGAAGUACCUCUUCUACAUGUUAGGUUUGAACCAUAUUUUCUCUUUCUUGAGACUUUAUGUUUGGUUUUUUUAUUUGGAUUUGAUUUUGUUGUUAGAGUCAGACUUUGGAGAUUGUAGUUUGGAGGUGUUCAGAACUGCUGAGAUAUUUGUGAUCUUUUUCAAGUAUCAACAGGUAAUAGAGUUUUGAUAUGUAUUCAAUAAUAAUAAUAAUUACCAUAUACACAUUUGAAUAAACAUUGAGUUCAUUAAGCACAAUGCUUGCUAUUCAAUGUGAUAUAGGUGGAUUGUGAUGAGUGCAAGAGAUUGUGCAGCAAAGGAGUCUCUGGUCAAGGUCAAGGGGGAAAGCAUCUUGAAAAAAGAAGGAAUACAUGAACCUAACG
rnacentral:lncRNA from 1 species